CCUACGGGAGGUAGCAGUGAGGAAUAUUGGUCAAUGGACGAGAGUCUGAACCAGCCAAGUAGCGUGAAGGAUGACUGCCCUAUGGGUUGUAAACUUCUUUUAUAUGGGAAUAAAGUGAGGAACGUGUUCCUUUUUGUAUGUACCAUAUGAAUAAGCAUCGGCUAACUCCGUGCCAGCAGCCGCGGUAAUACGGAGGAUGCGAGCGUUAUCCGGAUUUAUUGGGUUUAAAGGGUGCGUAGGUGGUUAAUUAAGUCAGCGGUGAAAGUUUGUGGCUCAACCAUAAAAUGGCCGUUGAAACUGGUUGACUUGAGUAUAUUUGAGGUAGGCGGAAUGCGUGGUGUAGCGGUGAAAUGCAUAGAUAUCACGCAGAACUCCGAUUGCGAAGGCAGCUUACUAAACUAUAACUGACACUGAAGCACGAAAGCGUGGGGAUCAAACAGGAUUAGAUACCCGUGUAGUC
rnacentral:rRNA from 1 species